rnacentral:rRNA from 1 species
AUUGAACGUUGGCGGCGGGCUUAACACAUGCAAGUCGAGCGGAGCGAGGGUGCUUGCACCUAGCUUAGCGGCGGACGGGUGAGUAAUGCUUAGGAAUCUGCCUAUUAGUGGGGGACAACAUUCCGAAAGGAAUGCUAAUACCGCAUACGCCCUACGGGGGAAAGCAGGGGAUCUUCGGACCUUGCGCUAAUAGAUGAGCCUAAGUCGGAUUAGCGAGUUGGUGGGGUAAAGGCCUACCAAGGCGACGAUCUGUAGCGGGUCUGAGAGGAUGAUCCGCCACACUGGGACUGCGACACGGCCCAGACUCCGACGGGAGGCAGCAGUGGGGAAUAUUGGACAAUGGGCGGAAGCCUGAUUCGGCCAUUCCGCGUGAGUGAAGAAGGCCUUCGGGUUGUAAAGCUCUUUUGUCCGGGAAGAAACGGUUUCACCUAAUACGUGAGACUACUGACGGUACCGGAAGAAUAAGGACCGGCUAACUACGUGCCAGCAGCCGCCGUAACAC